GGGAGGCAGCAGUAAGGAAUUUUCGGCAAUGGGGGAAACCCUGACCGAGCAACGCCGCGUGCAGGAUGAAGGUUUUCGGAUCGUAAACUGCUUUUCUCUGGGACGAGAACGGACGGUACCAGAGGAAUCAGCCCCGGCUAACUACGUGCCAGCAGCCGCGGUAAUACGUAGGGGGCAAGCGUUGUCCGGAUUUAUUGGGCGUAAAGCGCACGCAGGCGGUCCGCCAAGUCCGAAGUGACAGUCAUUGGCUUAACCAAUGAAGGCCUUCGGAAACUGGCAGACUUGAGAGCAAUAGAGGGAGACGGAAUUCCGGGUGGAGUGGUGAAAUGCGUAGAUAUCCGGAGGAACACCAAAGGCGAAGGCAGUGUCCUGGAUUGUUUCUGACGCUCAGGUGCGAAAGCUAGGGGAGCGAACGGGAUUAGAAACCCCAGUAGUCCC
rnacentral:rRNA from 1 species